GUGAGCGUGGUGUAGCGGUAACAUCACAGUCUUCCAAACUGUUGUCGCGGGUUCGAUCCCCGUCGCUCACUCCA
rnacentral:tRNA from 1 species